AAAGUCGUAACAAGGUUUCCGUAGGUGAACCUGCGGAAGGAUCAUUAAAAGAGAACUGUCGCUCGGUGGGGGUAAAAUCUCCCCGGGCACAAUCUCCAUCCCUUGCUUAUAAUACCCAUUGUUGCUUUGGCGGGUCGUGGGACCUAGUCCCCCGCUGGCUCCGGCUGGUGUGCACCCGCCAACGCCCAAAAUUUAAAACCUUGAAGUAAACAUUGAAGUCUGAAAAUAAACUAUGAAAAUAGCCUAAAACUUUCAACAACGGAUCUCUUGGUUCUG
rnacentral:misc_RNA from 1 species